GAUACUGAAAAACUUUUUUGCCAAACAGGCAUGUUUAAAAAACCAUAGAUAAUCUCAGUUGUACUUUAUAAACGUCCGUCAAAAAACAAGCGUUCUUCAAUGAUCAAUAUAAUUACUUAGUAAUUAGUGCCCACUCUUAGCAAUGUGAUGUCUGAUUCCUUUAAUGUGAAAAGUGGUAGAAAUAACGAUCAAGUUCAUUGUGACCUCAAAUUCCUACUCCGGUAAUGAAAAUAUACAAGCAAAUAUUCUUCCGAACAAUGAAAUGAAACAUGUUCGAACGGUAUCGAGUGUUGAUAGUUACUGAGCCAAUAUUGGCUGAGUGAUUGUAUAGAAAUCGAGAUGGAAUGUUACUUUAGAAGCAUCAAAAAGUGCAUCUUCAUUUUUGGCAUAUUUAGAAGGGAAAGAAAUAUUUCAUUUACAGCGUGAGAAUACAAGCGUACACUAAACACAUUAAGCUACUAGCGCUCAAGACAAGCCUUGAAUGGUGCUGUGAAUAUGUUUGAAUUAUCACGAGUUUUGAUACUCGCUGAGUCAAUAUUGCUUGCUUUCUGAUUGUUGACGGUUCAACGAUUGUAUAUAAAUCUAAUUGAAACUUUACUUUGAGAAGUAUCAAAAGGUGCUUUGCAAUAUUUACAAUCGAAAGAAAUAUUGUCAUUGACGAAGUUGGAAUAUGCGGUGGCUAUCGUUAAAACAAAGAAUAGGUAAUCGAGGAAGGGAACGUGGAAGUGAACAAGGAAUGCGAAAACAAUGAAUGGAAGUCCGUAAUCUUUAAAACAAGGAUCGAGAAAAGCUGAAAUCUUUAAAAACAGGGAAUGAGAAAAGCCGGAGUCUUUGAAACAAAGAAUGAGAAAAGCCCUAAUAUUUACAACAUUAAAGAAUAUAAAAGCUUACGAAGAAUGGUUAACAAGGCAAUUACCACGCAAUUUCAUCGAAUAGAUUGCGAGAAAGUUGUUUUAAACCGAAAUAUGAGUCUGGGCAUGUUGCCAACUGAUUUUGGGACUUCGAACGAAUUGUGUCCUUCUCGUAUAAAGUUAACAAAGUGAUCGUGGUGGAUCUAGGAUUUUGAUUACCGUGGGCAAAUUUCAUCACGUCAUACAAGUGAAGUCCGACGAUAUGAAAUUGAUGAAAUCAGGCAUAUAAAUUAUGUAGGUCUACACAGUCCUGCUGACCUUAGUGUCUUAUUGAUGUGCACUGUGGUUGUUAGCUUUAAUCAAUAAAAAUGAUGACAACAUACCAGAAUGAUUACAUAGCAAAGCUCAUCUGACAUCCAAUAUUUCUUUUUACAAACAAAAUAUACAGUAAGCCGAUAUGGAUGGCCCAUAUUAUGAAUACUUUUUUAAAAAAGAAAAGUAGCGUGCACGCGUGGUGGCUACUCACACAACGUUUUAAAGCGUGCAUAACAUUAAGAUAUGCCGAAAACGAAAACGCACCUUAUAGUGAUUCUAAAGAUUCAAGCUCAGUUUCUAUACAAUCGUUGAACGUAAACUGACAGAAAAACAAUCAGUAUUGGCUCAGCAACUAUCAACACUCGUGAUCGUCCAAACGUGUUUCCCUUUAUUAUUCACAGUUAACUUCUUAACAUUGACUAAAAUAAAGUGAUGUAUCGAAUUGCCUAAAUUUUCCAACUUAUGUGUUUGUGAAUGCAUCUAAGAAUGUGAUUAAAUAUUUUGUACUAAUUUUA